UACGUAGGGUGCGAGCGUUAAUCGGAAUUACUGGGCGUAAAGCGUGCGUAGGCGGUCCGCAAAGUCUGAUGUGAAAGCCCCGGGCUCAACCUGGGAACUGCAUUGGAAACUAACGGGCUUGAGUGUGGCAGAGGGGGUGGAAUUCCGCGUGUAGCAGUGAAAUGCGUAGAGAUGCGGAGGAACACCGAUGGCGAAGGCAGCCCCCUGGGCUAGCACUGACGCUCAGGCACGAAAGCGUGGGGAGCAAACAGG
rnacentral:rRNA from 1 species